GAGCACUGUUUCGGCAAGGGGGUCAUCCCGACUUACCAACCCGAUGCAAACUGCGAAUACCGGAGAAUGUUAUCACGGGAGACACACGGCGGGUGCUAACGUCCGUCGUGAAGAGGGAAACAACCCAGACCGCCAGCUAAGGUCCCAAAGUCAUGGUUAAGUGGGAAACGAUGUGGGAAGGCCCAGACAGCCAGGAUGUUGGCUUAGAAGCAGCCAUCAUUUAAAGAAAGCGUAAUAGCUCACUGGUCGAGUCGGCCUGCGCGGAAGAUGUAACGGGGCUAAACCAUGCACCGAAGCUGCGGCAGCGACGCUGAUGCGUUGUUGGGUAGGGGAGCGUUCUGUAAGCCUGUGAAGGUGUGCUGUGAGGCAUGCUGGAGGUAUCAGAAGUGCGAAUGCUGACAUAAGUAACGAUAAAGCGGGUGAAAAGCCCGCUCGCCGGAAGACCAAGGGUUCCUGUCCAACGUUAAUCGGGGCAGGGUGAGUCGACCCCUAAGGCGAGGCCGAAAGGCGUAGUCGAUGGGAAACAGGUUAAUAUUCCUGUACUUGGUGUUACUGCGAAGGGGGGACGGAGAAGGCUAUGUUGGCCGGGCGACGGUUGUCCCGGUUUAAGCGUGUAGGCUGGUUUUCCAGGCAAAUCCGGAAAACUAAGGCUGAGGCGUGAUGACGAGGCACUACGGUGCUGAAGCAACAAAUGCCCUGCUUCCAGGAAAAGCCUCUAAGCAUCAGGUAACAUCAAAUCGUACCCCAAACCGACACAGGUGGUCAGGUAGAGAAUACCAAGGCGCUUGAGAGAACUCGGGUGAAGGAACUAGGCAAAAUGGUGCCGUAACUUCGGGAGAAGGCACGCUGAUAUGUAGGUGAAGUCCCUCGCGGAUGGAGCUGAAAUCAGUCGAAGAUACCAGCUGGCUGCAACUGUUUAUUAAAAACACAGCACUGUGCAAACACGAAAGUGGACGUAUACGGUGUGACGCCUGCCCGGUGCCGGAAGGUUAAUUGAUGGGGUCAGCGCAAGCGAAGCUCUUGAUCGAAGCCCCGGUAAACGGCGGCCGUAACUAUAACGGUCCUAAGGUAGCGAAAUUCCUUGUCGGGUAAGUUCCGACCUGCACGAAUGGCGUAAUGAUGGCCAGGCUGUCUCCACCCGAGACUCAGUGAAAUUGAACUCGCUGUGAAGAUGCAGUGUACCCGCGGCAAGACGGAAAGACCCCGUGAACCUUUACUAUAGCUUGACACUGAACAUUGAGCCUUGAUGUGUAGGAUAGGUGGGAGGCUUUGAAGUGUGGACGCCAGUCUGCAUGGAGCCGACCUUGAAAUACCACCCUUUAAUGUUUGAUGUUCUAACGUUGACCCGUAAUCCGGGUUGCGGACAGUGUCUGGUGGGUAGUUUGACUGGGGCGGUCUCCUCCUAAAGAGUAACGGAGGAGCACGAAGGUUGGCUAAUCCUGGUCGGACAUCAGGAGGUUAGUGCAAUGGCAUAAGCCAGCUUGACUGCGAGCGUGACGGCGCGAGCAGGUGCGAAAGCAGGUCAUAGUGAUCCGGUGGUUCUGAAUGGAAGGGCCAUCGCUCAACGGAUAAAAGGUACUCCGGGGAUAACAGGCUGAUACCGCCCAAGAGUUCAUAUCGACGGCGGUGUUUGGCACCUCGAUGUCGGCUCAUCACAUCCUGGGGCUGAAGUAGGUCCCAAGGGUAUGGCUGUUCGCCAUUUAAAGUGGUACGCGAGCUGGGUUUAGAACGUCGUGAGACAGUUCGGUCCCUAUCUGCCGUGGGCGCUGGAGAACUGAGGGGGGCUGCUCCUAGUACGAGAGGACCGGAGUGGACGCAUCACUGGUGUUCGGGUUGUCAUGCCAAUGGCACUGCCCGGUAGCUAAAUGCGGAAGAGAUAAGUGCUGAAAGCAUCUAAGCACGAA
rnacentral:rRNA from 1 species